AUACUUACUUGGCGCUCAGGAUCCCGUGAUCAAGAAGGCGGGUCCUCCGGGGAUAGGCUUAGCCAUUGCACCUGGGUUAAGCAGAUAUCCUUGCGAUUAUCCCUAAAGGGGUACAUCGGGCGUGCAAUUUUUGGUAGUCGGGACUGCGUACGCGCUGUCCCGG